rnacentral:rRNA from 1 species
CAUUAAAGACCGGAGGGCCGUCAGGCUCGCCCGUAAACCCACUGUGAACCUUACCUGUAUCGUUGCUUCGGCAGGCGGCCCCAGGGCGGGGCCACCGCCUGUUAGGUCAGGUGCCUGCCGAAGGAUACCAAAACUCUCUAUAUUUUAGUUAUCUGAGUCUUACAAGACACAAUUAGUUAAAACUUUCAACAACGGAUCUCUUGGUUCUGGCAUCGAUGAAGAACGCAGCGAAAUGCGAUAAGUAAUGUGAAUUGCAGAAUUCAGUGAAUCAUCGAAUCUUUGAACGCACAUUGCGCCUGCCAGUAUUCUGGCAGGCAUGCCUGUUCGAGCGUCAUUUCAACCCUCAGGCCUAGCUUUUUGCUGGGCCUGGCGUUGGGGCAUCUGCUUGGUUUCAAGCAGGCCCUCAAGACCAGUGGCGGGCUCGCUGUGACCCCGAGCGUAGUAGUUAUUCUUUCUCGCUUUGGGUGUCCCGGUGGGCUUCCUGCCAUCAAACCUCUCUUUUUUUACUGAAAGGUUGACCUCGGAUCAGGUAGGAAUACCCGCUGAACUUAAGCAUAUCAAA